rnacentral:rRNA from 1 species
UACGGGGGGGGCAAGCGUUGUUCGGAAUUACUGGGCGUAAAGGGCUCGUAGGCGGCCAACUAAGUCAGACGUGAAAUCCCUCGGCUUAACCGGGGAACUGCGUCUGAUACUGGAUGGCUUGAAUCCGGGAGAGGGAUGCGGAAUUCCAGGUGUAGAGGUGAAAUUCGUAGAUAUCGGGAGGAACACCAGUGGCGAAGGCGGCGAUCUGGGAAGAUACUGACGCUGAGGUGCGAAAGCGUGGGGAGCAAACAGG